UGCACAAUGACCUAAGGGUUAAAUUGCCGCGGUACCCUGACCGUGCUAAGGUAGCGUAAUCACUAGCCUGUUAAUUGCUGGCCUGUAUGAAUGGCUUGACGCUGGUAACACUGUCUCUAUCGUGUUUUAUUGAACUUAACCUUUUGGUGAAAAGGCCAGAAUUUUCCUAAAAGACGAUAAGACCCUGUCGAACUUCAGGCAAACCUAUAACGACGGCAACCGCCAAAGUUACUAAUAAACCUUUGGUUGGGAAAACCGAGGACCAAACAAAACGUCCACCCCCACAACAAUCUAAACUCAAGAGAAAGCAUUUAGUUUUAUUACACAAACCACCGCCUGACAAGGCAUUUUUAGCUCUUAUUGAUCCAAGGAACUCCAACCUUGACCAUGGGAAAAGUUACCGCAGGGAUAACAGCGUAAUCCCCUCGGAGAGACCACAUUAAAGAGGGGGUUUGCGACCUCGAUGUUGGCUUAAGGCUUCCCAGAGGCGCAGAAGCUUCUAAAGGUUGGUCUGUU
rnacentral:rRNA from 1 species